GCCGCAGUUUCCUGUGCUAAGGUAGCGCAAUAACUUGCCUUCUAAUUAAAGGAUCGUAUGAAAGGACACAUGACUUUCUUAUUUUCUCAUAUAUUUUAAAAUAAAUUUAACCUACAAGUAAAAAGACUUGUAUUAACAAGAAAGACGACAAGACCCUAUAGAACUUCACUAUUGUUAAACUGGGGUGGUCAACAACAAAAGCUUAUCCUCCCAAACCACACAAAGACCUGAAACUUUCAACAAAAGAACAAGUUACCUUAGGGAUAACAGAGUAAUUCCUCUCUAGACCUGUUCCAAAGAGGAGCUUUCUACCUCGAUGUUGAAUUUAAUAUUACUUCAUAAAUAAACAUUAUACAAGUAGGUCUGUUCGACCUUUAAAAUAUUACAUGAU
rnacentral:rRNA from 1 species